AUUGAACGCUGGCGGCAUGCCUAACACAUGCAAGUCGAAUGGCAGCACAGUGUGUAGCAAUACACAUGGGUGGCGAAUGGCGGACGGGUGAGUAAUACGUAAGGAUCUGCCCAGAAGAGGGGGACAACCCGGGGAAACUCGGGCUAAUACCGCAUACUACUCUGAGGAGGAAAGGUUGGAGCAAUCCAGUCGUUUUUGGAGGAACUUACGUCUGAUUAGCUAGUUGGUGAGGUAACGGCUCACCAAGGCGAUGAUCGGUAGCUGGUCUGA
rnacentral:rRNA from 1 species